CGAGGAACCAAUGAAGUUGAUGGAGGAGGACGGAUCGUUGUUUGGUCAACUGGUGAAAGAAUAUUGGUCUCAUGUCCAUUCUGCAGAAAAGUAGUUCUACCAAGGCGGAAGCUGAAUUCAAGAACCUCUUGGAAGGAUUGCACAAAUUUGUGAUGGCAGGUCUAUCAAUGUCAGACAGAGGAGAUGAGCCAGACACUUUAAAUUUUCGGAGUUAAUUUGUGGCCACCAUUUCAGAGGUUGGAGCUCACAAAAGCUGCAGUAGUUGACGCUCGCAAAAUGGUCUCGACGCGAAGUAUGCAGGGAAGGCCUCUUUAAGAGUUGAAUUUCUGUAUUUUUCCCCUUUCAGCAGGAUCCAAUGUUCAUCCAGGAGUGUUCUUGUGACAACUAAAAACAUAGAAUUCUUAACUACCUCAACAUACAUACAUCUGUAGAAUCCAACAUCGGAGUUUAAAAGUAAAGAAAGAACCGUUCUUGAACUACUUGUGAUCACCCAUUUUUUGGGUAUGUGUUUUUGUACAAGAAUCUAUAUGCAAUUUGUUGUAAUUCUUGAAAAUACCUUGCUGAACAGUUAGCUUUUUAACUAGAAAGGGUCAGUUGCCAACAUUGGAGAAGGUAAGGAUA